rnacentral:rRNA from 1 species
CGCGUAGGCGGCGCGGGAAGUCAACGGUGAAAGUUCAGGGCUCAACCCUGAAUCGGCCGUCGAUACUCCCGGGCUUGAGCACUGUAGAGGCAGGUGGAAUUCCGGGUGUAGCGGUGGAAUGCGUAGAGAUCCGGAAGAACACCGGUGGCGAAGGCGGCCUGCUGGGCAGUAGCUGACGCUGAUGCGCGACAGCGUGGGGAGCAAACA